UAGGAAAAAAACGCAAGGACUGUUCUGACAUCCAUUAAUGUGGCUCAGUUAGCAGGAUGGAAAGAAAGAUGCAGACGAAUAGGAAUUACCAGCCUCAGGAGAGCUAAGGUCAGAGCCGCAUGUUCCUCAGCACAGCCUUGGUGAUUAUAAACCAGGAGUACAUUUUCUCUGCCAGCACAAGAUGGGCUGUAGGUAGGCAGGGUUUCCUGGAAGCCAUAGAUGCCCUGUAGGUGGAAGACCUUCAUGCUUGUGGCCAUGCUUCCUGGCCUGGUGACCCUUCUCUAUCUGGAGAGAAGUUUGAAUUUUCUCAUGUCCUGCUCAUCAAUACAUCCCACACAUUAGGAACCAGUAUCCCAUGAGACUCUGAUUCUUGCAUGGGCUGAAGCACUCCUGGCAGCCUCCACGUUCUGCUAAAAGAGAAAUUUAAGAGAUGGGAGUUGAGAAAAAGUCAGAGGUCUCAAAGGAAAACAAGAAAAGGAGUGGGCUGAAAAGAAUAAAUAAGUGCCACGGGCCAGUUUUUGCAGACUCCUCCAUCAAGCUCCAUGGGCCUUGGAGAAAAUCGGAAGGCCUGUAUUUGGUAAAGGAAACUUGUUGGUGUCCUCGCUCCCUCUCUGCUCCUGGCCAACCCUCUGCCAGCUCCUACCCUGUUCCUCAACCCCAGCGCCUCCAACUCCACCCUUCCUUUCCGUUGCCCCGGAGGGGAGGACAUGAGUCAGCAUUCAGACUUGAAAGUGUGAGCUGCCUCUGAGUCCUCAGAAUGUAAUCAUUUCAGAAAAUCUAGGACACACAACUACAGAGAAAGUCACCCUCCCCACCUCCUUCAGCUCUGUGGCCAGACAUGUACUUCCACUCUCUGAACGCAGCUUCAGCUGGACCCAAAUUUUAACAUCAAAACCACCACCACCAUCACCACCAAACGGUAUUGUGGCGUGUCGGAAAGCAGCAGCACCAACCACCACCCAAGUGCAAUGGACAGAUUUUGCAGAGAACACCAACAGUUUGAACAUCUGGUGUUUGGCAGUGUUCAGCCUGGGGUUGGGGGAGGUGGUGAGGCGGGGAGAGCAAGCAACAUGUUCUGAUCAGAGUCUCAAUCCUAAUCUUAGAAUCCAGAAUUAAUUUUUUUUCCUUGGUUCUUCCAAAAGAAGAAUACGUUGGAAUACGUUGAAAUUCCCUCCUGAAAUCUUUCUAAAAUAUCUAGGCUCACCUUUAAAUUGAUGCUUUUUGGAAUGGUACCAGCUUCACUGAUUUUUUCAUUCAGUCAACAUUUAAUCAGUCUCUGCAUCCAGGUUUCUACUUUGCACUGAAAACAAUAAUAACUUCAGUACAUGUCUCUUUCUAGUCCAGAGUAAACUCUUAUCCUAGCUUUGGGGAAAAGGCAAACAGGCUCACACAUGGGGCUGUUACAGACUUCAUUGUGGAUCAGACAGUUCGGAGGAGAAAAUCUCCUUAGACUCCUAAAGAUCCAACUGGUUUAGGAUUAGGAGAAAUCCAAGACCUCAGCUGCUCUCGUGUGUAACAAUCUGGCAAAAAGUCAUUUAGGAAAUUAUGAUCCUUCAGAUCCCAAAAGGGGAAGAAUUGCUGAGCUCUUUAUCAUGCUCUACCUGCUUGGUUUCUUCGGUGCUGGGUUUUAUCUUGCUUGAGUUUGAAGGUCUCCUUUUCCUUUUCCAGUGAUCAAAGCAGCUCUGAUUAGCAAGGGACAGUGAGAGUUGAUGGCUGAAAGCUUAGUUGUUGAGUUCUCAUUUCCAAAUGCCUUGUUGCCAAAACAGACAGGAAGUGCUCCCACCAAGCUCUUAUUUAAUAAACGGAUCUGGGAUGUAACCUAGUUGCAGUCUGCAGAGCAAAUGGAAAAUCAGAUCUUGCUCUGGCUUUGAUGGUGUCCUGGUGGAAAUUAGGAAAAGAACGAUGGAAGCUCCCUCCUUCUGAGAAACGAUGGAGAUGUGCACCUUUGUAAUAUCACUGAAGGAAACUAAGAGGCCUCCUACUGCAUGAGAAGAAACCCAAAAGGCAAGGCCACACAGCUGGAUAGCGGCAGAUAAGAGUAGAAUUCUCGGUUCCAUCUGCGGUUUUAGCCUUUCCCAACCCUCGACUUUUAGUCGUGCUGUUAUUUCUGAUGGGGUGAAGCUAGUCAGGUUGUGAUGAGUCAGUGAAAGGAGAAUGAAUUUUUCAGUGUUUAUGAAUACUUUGUAAGAGAAGGAGACUGGUGUGUGUGUGUGUGUGUGUGUGUGUGUGUGUGUGUGUGUGUGUGUGUUGAAAGACUGGAAAUAUCCCAAAUGCUUUCUCUAUAUUGUAGGCAACACAUCUUUCUCAGUAUAACUAGUUUGGCCUGAGGGUCAGUUCACUUUGGUAAGUUUUUUCAGGCAUGGUUCUGUGCCUGAAAAAUGCUCAUGACUGUGGAUAAGGAAAAGAUGAGCAGAUCUGGCUUUCCCCUUCCACAUCCCAUAGGCUGCUUAGGGGAAUUUACAGGUACACCAAAGCUCUGUCACUAGGUGGACAACGAAGUCAUUGUGAUAGGGCUGAAAGCAGCGUAGACUGGGAGGAUUAAAGAGUAU